rnacentral:rRNA from 3 species
ACGGGUGAGUAACGCGUGGGAACGUACCUUUUGGUUCGGAACAACUGAGGGAAACUUCAGCUAAUACCGGAUAAGCCCUUACGGGGAAAGAUUUAUCGCCGAAAGAUCGGCCCGCGUCUGAUUAGCUAGUUGGUGAGGUAAGAGCUCACCAAGGCGACGAUCAGUAGCUGGUCUGAGAGGAUGAUCAGCCACACUGGGACUGAGACACGGCCCAGACUCCUACGGGAGGCAGCAGUGGGGAAUAUUGGACAAUGGGCGCAAGCCUGAUCCAGCCAUGCCGCGUGAGUGAUGAAGGCCCUAGGGUUGUAAAGCUCUUUUGUGCGGGAAGAUAAUGACGGUACCGCAAGAAUAAGCCCCGGCUAACUUCGUGCCAGCAGCCGCGGUAAUACGAAGGGGGCUAGCGUUGCUCGGAAUCACUGGGCGUAAAGGGUGCGUAGGCGGGUCUUUAAGUCAGGGGUGAAAUCCUGGAGCUCAACUCCAGAACUGCCUUUGAUACUGAGGAUCUUGAGUUCGGGAGAGGUGAGUGGAACUGCGAGUGUAGAGGUGAAAUUCGUAGA